rnacentral:rRNA from 1 species
CCUACGGGUGGCAGCAGUGGGGAAUAUUGCACAAUGGGGGAAACCCUGGUGCAGCGACGCCGCGUGAGUGAAGAAGGAAUUCGUUAUGUAAAGCUCUAUCAGCAGGGAAGAAAAUGACGGUACAUGAGUAAGAAGCCCCGGCGAACUCCGGGCCAGCAGCCGCGGUAAUACGUAGGGGGCAAGCGUUAUCCGGAUUUACUGGGUGUAAAGGGGGCGUAGACGGCAGUGCAAGUCUGGAGUGAAAGGCGAGGGCGCAACCCCCGGACUGCUCUGGAAACUGUACGGCUGGAGUGCAGGAGAGGUCAGUGGAAUUCCUAGUGGAGCGGUGAAAUGCGUAGAUAUUAGGAGGAACACCAGUGGCGAAGGCGGCUUACUGGACUGUAACUGACGUUGAGGCUCGAAAGCGUGGGGAGCAAACAGGAUUAGAUACCCGUGUAGUC